UUGAACGCUGGCGGCAGGCUUAACACAUGCAAGUCGAGCGGGGGAAGGUAGCUUGCUACUGAUCUUAGCGGCGGACGGGUGAGUAAUGCUUAGGAAUCUGCCUAUUAGUGGGGGACAACAUCUCGAAAGGGAUGCUAAUACCGCAUACGUCCUACGGGAGAAAGCAGGGGAUCUUCGGACCUUGCGCUAAUAGAUGAGCCUAAGUCGGAUUAGCUAGUUGGUGGGGUAAAGGCCUACCAAGGCGACGAUCUGUAGCGGGUCUGAGAGGAUGAUCCGCCACACUGGGACUGAGACACGGNCCAGACUCCUACGGGAGGCAGCAGUGGGGAAUAUUGGACAAUGGGCGCAAGCCUGAUCCAGCCAUGCCGCGUGUGUGAAGAAGGCCUUAUGGGUUGUAAAGCACUUUAAGCGAGGAGGAGGCUACUUUAGAUAAUACCUAGAGAUAGUGGACGUUACUCGCAGAAUUAAGCACCCGCUUACUC
rnacentral:rRNA from 1 species